GAAUAUUCAAUUUCUAAGUUCGGAAAUUUCGAAUUAAGCAACUCGGACUCUCCGAACUGGGGGGACUAAUUGUUGGUGCAGGAAUUAGCACCUCCGACAAUACCAAUUUAAACCAAGGAAUAACGUGAAUAAAAUCGAGAAUUCGAUUGAACCGGGGAAUCCCGGAUAGCCUGUGAAUGGGCCUUAAGUCAUGAGCUCGCCAGAAGAUUUAGGUCGACAAUCGAGAUCGCCAUAAGCGGCUUCUGAGGUCGUGUGAAGGGAAAACUUCCAUUUAAAAGAGGGUAAUCUCAUGAAGAAUGGAAGUAAUGGAGAUUUAGACUUAAGAUAAUUAGAAGUUUAUCAUAUUUUGGUAUGUUCGACCCAUUGUAUAAAUAGGGGAGGGUCAAACUCUCCAGGGAUCCAUCUUUAACCUAAUACAAAAAGACUACAAUUAUAGAGCAAACCCUAGCUUUCUAUUCAUGCAACUCUGUUCUUCCCCUUUGAUUAUUUAUUAACUGAGAGAGGAGUGAAUUUGUCUAAAUACCUUAGUACAAAUUCAUUGUUUAAUUACAGAAUCAACAAUUAUUUAUACUUAAAAGUAAAUUUCUGGUUUGAGAAGAGAACUAUAAUUUAUAUACUAUAAU
rnacentral:sRNA from 1 species